UGAGGAAUAUUGGGCAAUGCCCGCAAGGGUGACCCAGCAACGCCGCGUGGAGGAUGAAUGUCGUAAGAUUGUAAACUCCUGUUAGAGGGGAAGAAUAGUACCGGUUGGACCGGUAUAUGACUGUACCCUCAGAGAAAGCCCCGGCUAACUACGUGCCAGCAGCCGCGGUAAUACGUAGGGGGCAAGCGUUGUCCGGAUUUACUGGGUGUAAAGGGCGCGCAGGCGGGAUAAAAAGUCAGUGGUGAAAUCCUACAGCUUAACUGUAGAACUGCCUUUGAUACUUUUAUUCUUGAGUUCGGGAGAGAGAGACGGAAUUCCAGGUGUAGUGGUGAAAUACGUAGAUAUCUGGAAGAACACCAGCUGCGAAGGCGGUCUCUUGGUCCGACACUGACGCUGAGGCGCGAAAGCGUGGGGAGCAAAC
rnacentral:rRNA from 1 species